rnacentral:rRNA from 1 species
UUGGGGUAGUGGCCCAACAAGGUUUUUACGGAUAACGGGGAAUCAGGGUUCGAUUCCGGAGAGGGAGCCUGAGAAACGGCUACCACCACCAAGGUAGGCAGCAGGCGCGAAAAUUACCCUAAUCUGAAUUUCAGGAGGUAGUAACAAAAAAUAUCAAAACAGGCUUUAUGUUUGUAUUUGGAAUGUGUGUAAUUUAACAAGUUACUCGAGAAACAAUUGGAGGGCAAGUCUGGUGCCAGCAGCCGCGGUAAUUCCAGCUCCAAUAGUGUAUAAUAAAGUUGUUGCGGUUAAAAUGCUCGCAGUUAAAUGACAAAAUUUAUCAAUUAUAUGGUUUAUAUAUAACCUAUAUAGUUUGAUUAAUUUUUUAUUGCAAAUAAUAACAAGUUGCUUCAUUGCAACUUGUUACUCAUUUGCAUAAUGCGCCUUGAAUAAACUAGAGUGCUCAAUGCAAGCUUAUGCUAGCAUAAUCAAACAUGGAACGAUCUAAUAACAAUCUAAUUUGGUUGGUUGGUAGCCACCUGGUUUAUCUAAUAUGCAUGUUGUUAUGUAAACAUUUUACUCUGUGAUUCUGAUUUCAUCUGAAUUGAUGUAAGUUGCUCUCAUUGUAUUAUUGAUUUAUCUCUGAUGCUGUAUAUUGGUAGAUUGGGAACCGAAUUAGAUCCCGAUUAAAAGAAGCAAUUGAGGGCGUUGGUACUGGGCAGCGAGAGGUGAAAUUCUGUAACCUGUCCAAGACUAACAAAUGCGAAGGCAUACGCCAAGGUUGUUUUCAUUAAUCAGGAGCGAAGGUUGAGGGAUCGAAGACGAUUAGAUACCGUCGUAGUCUCAACAGUAAACAAUGCCUACCUGAGGUUAGCCCAUUAUUAGUUAUAGGUUGGCCUCUCAGAGAAAUCUCAAGUUUUUGGGUUCUGGGGGGAGUACUGUCGCAAGGCUGAAACUUAAAAGAAUUGACGGAAGGACACCACAAGGAGUGGAGCCUGCGGCUUAAUUUGACUCAACACGGGACAACUUACCAGGUCCUCACAUUGAAAGGAUUGACAGAUUAAUAGCUCUUUCAUAAUACAAUGUAUGGUGGUGCAUGGCCGUUCUUAGUUGGUGGAGCAAUUUGUCUGGUCAAUUCCGAUAACGAGCGAGACUGCUUUUUCUAUUUUAUGGCUCAUUCUUAUAAUCACAUUUAAUAAUACUGGUCUAAAUACUAACAUCAGUUGUUUGAUAAUGUUAUCGAUCUAUCCUGGGUUAUGCCCUUGAGACAUUGGUAAUAGAGUCAAACAAUUUGAUAUAAAGAUUUAGAUUUGGUUUUAUUAGAUGUAAGGUGAGAUAAUAGAGAGACAACCGCGCGCACUCAAGCCGGAGGAGGCGCAGCAAUAACAGGUCUGUGAUGCCCUUAGAUGUUCUGGGCUGCACGCGCGCUACAAUGGCGUUGAAAAUAAGUUAAUAUUCUGAAAAGAAUAUUUAAACAUUAAUCAGCGUCAUAUUAGGGAUAGAGUACUGUAAUUGUGCUCUUGAGCUAGGAAUUCCUAGUAAGUACGGGUCACCAACCCGUGCUGAAUAUGUCUAUGUCCUUUGUACACACCGCCCGUCGCUACUACUGAUUAUAUGAUGUUUCGAAGCGUAGGAAUUUGAAAAGAACGUUUAGUUUUUUUUAAAGAACCACCCUAAGAAAUUCAUCUGAGAGGAAGUAAAAGUCGUAACAAGGUUU